CUGGCUAUUUUUGAAUGACCAGUCCGAAAACUGGCUAGACCGUACUAUUUUUACUUGCUUGGGUAAUUUGUUGGGCUCAGGUUGGCACAUGUAAUUGACGGCCCAAUACCAAUUAGGUCCAUACAAGAACAACUUAAUAAUCACAUAAAAGGAGAGCUGAACACUUGGACAAUUUUUGGUAACUCUGUUACAACUUCCUAACCAAUUCUUCUUCUCUCUUCUCUAACUUCCUUCUUCUCUUCUUCUCACAGGUUAUGCAAUGGAGUUUUGUAAUUCAUCAACAUAACCAAUUGAAUUGUUCAGUGAAUAGAACUUGUUGACUCAUUCUUCUUUAUACUUGUUCAAUAAUUGUUCUCAAUUGUUCUAGUACAUAACAAAUUGGUAUCAGAGCAUCGUCAUGGCCCAAUGACGAUUCUAGAAACUCGAUCAAAGGCUUCAGAAGCUAAUGUAAAGAAGCUAGAGAUGCAGUUACAAAGUUACAUGGUAGAAACAAAUAAAAAAUUGGAGUUCAAUGACUCAAAAAUGGAUGACUUAAGCCGGAAAAUGGAUGUAAUGAUGGAGAAGCUUUUCGCAAGCAAGGAUGAAAUUCUAGGCAGUCCACCAAUGGGAGCUCAUCAUGCAGAAGGAUAUAGCAGUAGAUCAAGGGCGGUUGAAAUUCUUGAGAACUCCAAUGGUAGGUUCUACGCGAACAUCUCAUCUUCUAGGAUUGACUGUCCAUAUUUUGAAGAAGGUGAUCCCAGAUCUUGGCUGCGAAAAUAUAAAAGGUACUUCCAUUACAAUCACAUAAAUGAUCCACAACACAAAUUAGAAACUACGGUAUUGCAUCUCAAUGGUAGGGCUGAAUCUUGGUACUUCUCUUAUCAAGUGAGUAAGAGAAUUGUGAGAUGGCCUGAUGUUGUUGAGGAAAUGUGUAAGAGAUUUAAUAAUUCUGUUAAUAGUAACCUAAAUCUACUUUGGAAAUUCAAAAGGAUUGAGCAGAUUGGUACUGUGAAUGAGUACCUAAAAAAUUUGCGAAUCUGAAGGCUUGGGUGGUGGUGAUCAAGUAUCCAACAAUUUCUUAAUAGGACUUAAGGAAGAAAUCAUGCAUACAAUUAAAAUGCUUGACCCCUUUUUCUUGAGUCAAGAUGUAGAGAAAGCUAGACACAAGGAGGAAAUGAUAGACUCUAUGAAUAAGAACAUAAUGGGUGGGGCCAGACAGUCAGGACAUUAUAGUUCCAACAACAAUGGUUUAGGGAGCAGAUCCUCUUCUUUAUCCAGAAUGAGAGUAACUGUAACCUAACAAAAAAAUAGUUGGGCUGCCUCAUACAAGUUGAUGUACCCAUGAAGGUAGCUGCCGCCCAGGGAGAAUACCUAAGUUAAGAGUGUUGGACAUUGAUAUCUUGUCCUCAGUUUAAAUAGAAAACUAAUGGGAUUGUCUUUCAACACAAAUUAAGAGUGUUGGACAUUGGUGGGGGUGAUGUAGUACUUGGAGUUGACUGGAUGAGACAAUCCAGUGCUAUUUGACUUCAUAGAAUACAGACUGCAGGUGAGUGUGAAAGGGAAAAAGAUAUAUUUGAAAGGGCAUUUUGAAGAAGGGGAGUUGCAGAGUAUGGCAACUAGUGGUGUCAAACAACUGCUUAAGAAAUGACCGUUGUUGUGGGCUCACUUGUUCACUAUUACUACCAGUGCAACAGAAAAAUCUAAGGGAAUACUAGAGCAAAUCAAAGAAGUGCUUGAUAUUUCCCAAAUAUUUUUGUGGAGCCUAAGUCCUUGCCACCCAAGAGGAAUCAUGAUAACUUUAUUCCAUUGAAACCUGAAGCAUCACCAGUUAUCAUAAGACCUUACAUGUAUAAUUACUUUCAAAAGAAUGAAAUAGAAAAACAAGUGAAUGAAAUGCUCAAUAAUGACAUCAUACAACCCAGCCAUUCCCCUUUUUAUUCUGCUGUGUUGUUAGUAAAAAAGAAGGAUGUCAGUUGGAGGUUUUGUGUUGACUAUAUGGAGUUAAACAAGAUGAUCAUUAAGGAUAAAUUUUCUAUUCCAUUGGUAGAUUAUCUAAUUGAUGAGCUUAAUGAGUCUUGCAGCUAUUCUAAGAUUGAUCUAAGGGUUCGAUAUCAUCAAAUAAGAAUGGGGGAUACUGAUAUAUUCAAAAUUGCAUUUAAGACACAUCUAGGUCACUAUGAAUUUAAGGUCAUGCCCUUUGGCUUGACCAAUGCCCCUACUACGUUCCAAAGUCUCAUGAAUCAUGUGUUUAAACCAUUCUUGAGGAAGUUUGUCUUGGUAUUCUUUGAUGACAUUCUGGUUUAUAGUUCUUCCAUGGAAAGUCAUGUCUUACAUUUACAAAAGGUGCUAGAAGUGUUGUAGAGGGAAAAACUUUAUGCCAAGCUGUCCAAGUGUGCUUUUGGUCAAGACAAAGUAGAAUACUUAGGCCAGAUUAUAUCAGAAAAAUGAGUGGCAACUGAUCCUGCUAAGGUGGAGGCUAUGUUGAAUUGGCAUGCACCUAAAUCUGUGAAAGCACUAAGGGGAUUCCUCGGACUAACUGGUUAUUACAGGAGGUUUGUAGGAAAUUAUGGAAUUAUCAGCAGGACACUCACUAAUCUACUCAAGAAGAACUCAUUUUUGUGGUCAGAGGAGGAUGAUCCGUCAUUUCAGGAGCUUAAAGUAGCCAUGUCUACAGUACAAUAGAAGGGGGUUGGCCAAACUCUUAGGUUUGGACUAUGAGGUUCAGUACAAGAAAGGAAUAGAUAAUAAGGUAGCUGAUGCAUUGUCAAGGAGACAAGAAGAAGGACCUACAGUUAUGGCUAUCUCUACAACACAAGAUACUUGGUUAUAGUAGGUGAGCAAUAGUUAAGAGAACUGCCAGUCUCUUCAAACAACAGACCUGACUACUCUCUACACCAAGGAAUCAUAAGAUACAAACAGAAGAUUUAUGUGGGCAAGAGUACUGAAUUAAGGAACAAAGUAUUACAUUCCAUGCAUCACUCUGCACUUGGAGGACAUUCAAGUCAGCAGGGCACCUACAGAAGGCUGCAACUGGUUUUCUACUAGCCAAAUAUCAAAUCAGAGGUGUUCAAGUGGGUGGGUGAGUGUAAUGUUUGUCAAAGGGUCAAGACUAAAAACAUUCACUCUCCAGAGUUGCUAUAGCCUUUCCCUAUUCCAGAAAAGGCCUGACAAGACAUUUCUCUAGAUUUUGUUUAAGGUUUACCAUUCUCUGGGCACAAAAAUGUAGUUUUAGUUGUGAUAGAUAGGUUUACAAAAUAUGGGCAUUUCCUAGCCAUCAAACAACCUUUUACAGCUCAAGAGGUGGUAGAAUUAUUCCUAAAAGACGUGUAUAGACUGCAUGGGCUGCCUAGGUCCAUAGUUUCCCUAUAUUCACAAGUCAUUUUUGGCUGCAUCUCUUCAAGACUAUGGGCACUACACUCAAUAUGAGUACAGCCUAUAAUCCAUAGUCAGAUGGUCAAACAGAAAGACUAAAUGGAUGCAUGGAAACCUAUUUGAGAGCUAUGGUUUUCGAUAAUCCUAAACAUUGGGUGAGAUGGCUACACUUGGCAGUGUGGUAGUACAACACUAACUUCCAUAAUUCCCUACAAACCACUCCCUUCCAUGCCUUAUAUGGGUACCAACCACCACAUAUACCUAGUGGUUCAUUACCAGGUACAGGACAAUCUACAAUAAGGGUAGGUGUGGCUCAACGCCAACACAUGAUUCAGACUCUCAAGGACAAUUUGACUAGAGCUGAGUCUCGCAUGAAAUUCUAUGUUGACAGACUCCGGUCUGAGAGAGUAUUGGAAGUGGGAGAUCUAGUCUACCUUAAAUUGCAACCAUACUAGCAUUCCUCUAUCGAUGUACGCAGAAAUGUAAAACUGUGUGCACGCUAUUAUGGUCCAUACAAUAUUCUACAGAAGAUUGGGUCAGUUGUUUACCGGGUUGGAGCUUCCAGCGGGUUCACAGCUUCACCCCAUUUUUCAUGUCUCACAGCUAAAACGUCGAGUGGACCAACUAUUGUUGGAGCUUCCAGCGGGUUCACAGCUUCACCCCAUUUUUCAUGUCUCACAGCUAAAACGUCGAGUGGACCAACUAUUGUUGCUCACCGCCAACCUCCUAGUUGUGACGCUGAUUGUCAGAUCCAGAUCCAGCCAGUUGCAAUUAUCAAAAGAAAAAUGAUGAAGGUCAACAAUGGGGUCAGUGUGAAGGUCUUGAUUCAAUGGGCUAAUCUGAGUGUGGAGGAAGCGAUAUAGGAAGACUAGGCUAUAUCAAGAAUCGAUUCCCUGAUUUCGUUGCUCAACAAAGACCUUGAUUCAAAGGGGAAGGGAUUGUCAUGUUCAAAGUUAACUAGGCACGGAAUUAGGAAAGUAGAUGAAUGCAUUAAAAAAGUAGAUGAACGGGUCUCAACACAUGUAAAUGGAGGGGUUUAAAAGAGAUAAGGGUCAAGUCCACUAAGGAGCUGCUUGGGUAAUUCGUUGGACUCAGGUUGGCACAUGUAAUUGACGGCCCAAUACCAAUUAGGCCCAUACGAGAACAACUUAAUAAACACAUCAAAGUAGAGUUGAACACUUAAUACAAUCUCUGGUAAUUCUGUUACAAAUUCCUAACCACUUCUUCUUCCUCUUUUCUCUAACUUCCCUCUUCUCUUCUUCUCAUAGGUUAUGAAACGGAGUAUUGUAAUUCAUCAAUGUAACCAAUUGAAUGGUUCAGUGAAUAAAACUUGUUGACUCAUUCUCCUUUAUACUUGUUCAUUAAUUGUUCUCAAUUCUUCUAGUACAUAACAUACGUAAAUAAAA
rnacentral:lncRNA from 1 species